AAAAAGACAAACCGUGGGUUUCCGUGCCAACGUUUGACUAUCCGUCUUAUAUGAAAUUUUUUUAUAAUUAGUAUUUUCAUUGUUGUUAGAUGAUAAAAUAUGAUUAAUACUUUAUGCGUGACUUAUCUUUUUAAUUUUUUUAUAAUUUUUUCAAAAUAAAACGGACGAUUAAACGUUGGACACGGAAACCAGGGUUUGUCUUUUU
rfam:Oryza nivara chromosome 4, whole genome shotgun sequence.